AAUUAUUGCUCCUUCUCCAUUUUCUACUGCACCGAUGACUAAUUUAUAGUUAAUUGAACAAACCGAACCCUCACCGAACCAAGCCUAAUCUAACUCUCUCCUAGCCAAACCCAACCGAGGGUAAGAAAGAAAGGAGGAGGGGGAAAAAUUCAAGUCUAACCGAACCUAAUCCUUUCUUUAGUCAAACUCAAACUAAGAUGGGAAAGAAAUGAGGAGGGGAGAAAAUUCAAGCCCAGCCGAACCUUCUCCAAUCCUGGCCUAAUAGAACCUCGUACCUUGUAAAAGAGCCCGAAUUUGUUCGAAGUUUUUCACGAUUUCAUUAGCAACCACACAUGUUUAAUUGCAAAUUUGCAAUCAAAUAUUUUGUUUUGUUUUUUCUGAUCCCAACCGAGCUUGCAACCACACGUACGAUUACGACCCAAGAUUCAUUUUUGCAACAAAUUUGUGGCUGCAGAAGUACUAAGGUCACGGAUUUAGAUAUGGACGCAAAAAAAAAUUACAGCCCGAUCACACGAUCUCUCCUUCUCUCUCACAAUCUCCAGCCACCAUACCCACCUCAAGCAGCCACUUCUCCUCAAAUGUUAUUGCCUCCAUCACGCGCUUGAGGGUUGCUAGCUUGGCAAGCUUUGUACGUAAAAGUACGUGUAAGAGAGGACACUGAAUAAAUUUAGAGGAAAACAUUUAAGAUUUAUGUACAAGAAGUAGAGCCAAUAACAUUUGGCUUGUAAAUCUUAAUCGUGCUAUCUAUAUUUAAUUGAAAUAUUUAAAUUUAGAAUAAAAAUUGGAAUUUCAAUUU